rnacentral:rRNA from 1 species
AACGAACGCUGGCGGCAUGCCUAACACAUGCAAGUCGAACGAGACCUUCGGGUCUAGUGGCGCACGGGUGCGUAACGCGUGGUAACCUGCCCUUAGGUUCGGAAUAACUCCCCGAAAGGGGUGCUAAUACCGGAUAAUGUCUUCGGACCAAAGAUUUAUCGCCUUUGGAUGGGCCCGCGUUGGAUUAGCUAGUUGGUAGGGUAAAAGCCUACCAAGGCGACGAUCCAUAGCUGGUCUGAGAGGAUGAUCAGCCACACUGGGACUGAGACACGGACCAGAAUCGUAGGGGAGGGAGCAGUGGGGAAUAUUGGACAAUGGGCGAAAGCCUGAUCAAGCAAUGCCGCGUGAGUGAUGAAGGCCGUAGGGUUGUAAAGCUCUUUGACACGGGAUGAUAAUGACAGUACCGGGAGAAUAAGCUCCGGCUAACUCCGUG